rnacentral:rRNA from 1 species
UACGGAAGGCAGCAGUGGGGAAUAUUGCACAAUGGGCGCAAGCCUGAUGCAGCCAUGCCGCGUGUAUGAAGAAGGCCUUCGGGUUGUAAAGUACUUUCAGUCGUGAGGAAGGUGUUAAGGUUAAUAACCUUAGCAAUUGACGUUAGCGACAGAAGAAGCACCGGCUAACUCCGUGCCAGCAGCCGCGGUAAUACGGAGGGUGCGAGCGUUAAUCGGAAUUACUGGGCGUAAAGGGCACGCAGGCGGUUAAUUAAGUUGGAUGUGAAAUCCCCGGGCUUAACCUGGGAAUGGCAUUCAAGACUGGUUAGCUAGAGUCUUGUAGAGGGGGUAGAAUUCCAUGUGUAGCGGUGAAAUGCGUAGAGAUGUGGAGGAAUACCGGUGGCGAAGGCGGCCCCGUGGACAAAGACUGACGCUCAUGUGCGAAAGCGUGGGGAGCAAACAGGGAUUAGAUACC